UACGAAGGGGGCUAGCGUUGCUCGGAAUUACUGGGCGUAAAGCGCACGUAGGCGGCUUUCUAAGUCGGGGGUGAAAUCCUGGAGCUCAACUCCAGAACUGCCUUCGAUACUGGAAAGCUCGAGUCCUGGAGAGGUGAGUGGAACUGCGAGUGUAGAGGUGAAAUUCGUAGAUAUUCGCAAGAUCACCAGUGGCGAAGGCGGCUCACUGGCCCGGUACUGACGCUGAGGUGCGAAAGCGUGGGGAGCAAACAGG
rnacentral:rRNA from 1 species